rnacentral:rRNA from 1 species
CCUACGGGUGGCAGCAGUGAGGAAUAUUGGUCAAUGGGCUUACGCCUGAACCAGCCAAGUCGCGUGAGGGAAGACUGCCCUAUGGGUUGUAAACCUCUUUUGUCAGGGAGCAACGCCGGCUACGUGUAGCCGGACUGAGAGUACCUGACGAAACAGCAUCGGCUAACUCCGUGCCAGCAGCCGCGGUAAUACGGAGGAUGCGAGCGUUAUCCGGAUUUAUUGGGUUUAAAGGGUGCGUAGGCGGAAUGCCAAGUCAGCGGUAAAAUCGCGGGGCUCAACCGUAAAAUUGCAAUUGAUACUGGCAGUCUUGAGUACAGUUGAGGUAGGCGGAAUUCGUGGUGUAGCGGUGAAAUGCUUAGAUAUCACGAAGAACCCCGAUUGCGAAGGCAGCUUACUAAACUGUGACUGACAUUGAUGCUCGAAAGUGUGGGUAUCAAACAGGAUUAGAUACCCUUGUAGUC